CCGAGGGCACGCAGCUGGAACUCGAACGCGCUGGAACCGACUCCAGCGAGCCAGCCCCUCCCGGAGGCAUUCCUUGCUGCCGCGGCCAGGAAAAUUGUGUGCAUAAAUCCCAUAAAAUCCCGCGAUGUGGAGCCGACGCUGAGCUUACCCAGAACAAAAUCUGCUAAUGAUCGCCGCUUGCCAGGAGCCCACAGAAAAACCAUCAGACGUGUCGCAACCCCCCGCCUGCCUCCUGCCUGAGUCCGUUCUAAUAAGGCCUCUUUUCAUAAGUUUAUAAAAACACUUUGUUUGGAUUGCAUUGGGCCUUUACUUCAUCUUAGUUGAAUGCUGACCAUUUGUGGGGCCAAAGGGGCUGUGACCAACCCUAAGUUUUCAGACCCAGAGAAAACAACAGAGCCUGGCGCAGAGAUGCGUGAGAAGUUCUGAUGAGCGAAAUGGACUCAGGAACCAAAGUUGAUUCAAGCAAGACGAAGGAGGCCCAGGUGCCCGUGGAGGUGGAGUGGAUUCUGAAAUUCCUAGAAACGGACAUGGGAUACUUAUUCUGAGUAUUUGGACAGAGUGUCACUUUGGGAAAAACGUCAGGCCUGUUAGCUCUAAAGACAAGCAGCCAACAAAGAUCAGCAACAGAGACCAGCAACUGGAAGAACUGCCUGCCACAUGGCAUCUAGCAUUAGCCAGUAUUGAUCAUCGGCAGCAGCUGGCAAUGCAGAGACCUGCAACUGGCAGAAUCAAUAGACAGUGUCUGGCAUUUGCUGGGCCCAACCAGUGGGACUGGGGCCCAGUGGUGUAGCAUCAAGGCCCAGGGGCACUAGCAGAGCUGCAUUUCACCAAUACCUGAUUGUUAUCUGAACGAAAGAACCCUCAGCUGAUAGAUGACAAUUGGUGACCACAGGAGCCACCUCCUUUUUGAGGUUCUCCAGAAAGAGUACAGACAAUGGUGAUGAUUGGUACAGAGUUGCCUCAUAAGUGACAGGUGGUCCCUUGAACCUUUUGCUUCAGUGUCAUCAUCUAUGCCUGGUGAGGUCUAGUGCUGGCUGUCCUUGCAAUGUGGGCCCCCAACCCCACCCCGUGGUGCUCCCAACUGCCCUCGCUGCCUGUGUGUUUUGUACUGCAGCCAGUUGUCAAUCGCUCUCUCUGCCUCCUUUUUUUUUUU